UACGGGGGGGAGCAAGCGUUGUUCGGAUUUACUGGGCGUAAAGGGCGCGUAGGCGGUCGUGACAAGUCACUUGUGAAAUCUCCGGGCUUAACUCGGAACGGUCAAGUGAUACUGUCGGACUAGAGUACAGAAGGGGCAACUGGAAUUCUCGGUGUAGCGGUGAAAUGCGUAGAGAUCGGGAAGAACAUCGGUGGCGAAAGCGCUCUGCUGGACUGCAACUGACACUCAGGGACGAAAGCUAGGGGAGCGAAUGGG
rnacentral:rRNA from 1 species